AUUGAACGCUGGCGGCAUGCUUUAUACAUGCAAGUCGUGCGGCAGCGCGGGGGCAACCCAGGCGGCGAGCGGCGAACGGGUGAGUAAUACAUAGGAACGUAUCCUGAAAUGGGGGAUAGCUCGGCGAAAGCCGGAUUAAUACCGCAUACGCUCCACGGAGGAAAGCAGGGGAUCGCAAGACCUUGCGUUUCUGGAGCGGCCUAUGUCUGAUUAGCUAGUUGGCGGGGUAAUAGCCCACCAAGGCGACGAUCAGUAGCUGGUCUGAGAGGAUGAUCAGCCACACUGGGACUGAGACACGGCCCAGACUCCUACGGGAGGCAGCAGUAGGGAAUUUUGGACAAUGGGCGCAAGCCUGAUCCAGCCAUGCCGCGUGAGUGAAGAAGGCCUGU
rnacentral:rRNA from 1 species